AGUAGUCCCAAACAAGCCAAUAGUUGACUCAAAACCUCCUACAAACCUGACCCUGAAGUGAAUUUCAGCUCAGUUCAUAGGCCCAUAAUCCUUAUCUCAAAUACACAGCUAACUAAACUCCAAGCUCCAGCUGCAUGUGACGUAACCUCUGUGCUGCAUAUGGAUGUUCCAAUAUCUCCUGCAGACGUGGGCUGUAGAGGUAUCUACCCAAAGUAAUUAAUCCACCUUUCAGUAAUUCCACUGUAAAUGAAAAGAGUGCACAGAGGGUUCAGAUAGAUUUCACAACCCUCACUUGCUGCAAAUACUAUCAUUGCUGAAAUGACAACAUGGUUUCAGGAAAUUUUCUGCUGAAUAAAUCUGGACAAUGCUAGAAAAGUAGCUUUUAGGUUGCACUUCUUGCAUGGAUGUGAUGAAUCAAUGCUCCAGCUCCCUGAGGUCUUAGUGUUUAGCAGCUGGCUUGAGACUACAUUCAGCUUCAUGGAAAAAUCUGCAGCAGGAGGAUUCCCAGCUAUGGGCACCGAGUCAGCUCACUGAAGUGCAUGGGGAGUGAAUGAAAUCCAGGGAACUGAUUCAGCAUCCAUAAAUAAAUACCG